UCAAUUUGUUUUAAAACAAGUGUUAGAAAAUAUUAUUAGUGGCAAUAAACUAUAAUUUUAAUGGAUUCUUGCAUUACAGGACAGGAGAGAGUUGAAACUCGCUGGAGAUUGUCAGUUAUUUACAACGGAUAAAACAACAGUAUGUGCCUGGCCUUUAAUGAAAUAUACAGUUCAAAGUAAGUUAAGGAGCAUCAGUGAGGCGAGAGAUGACAGAACACAUAAGAAGAUGUUUUGAAGAAUGAUGGUACCCAAACAACAUUGGCCUCCAUGGACUUCUGUGUACUGGUCAUCUUCAUCUUUAGCCAUUUUUAAGUCGUCCUUGAAGACGUAUCUGUUCUCUGUAGCCUUUGAAUAGAUUAUAAAUUAUGUGUUGAUGUUGAUAGAAUUAUGUGGUGUUUUUUUUAAAUUUUUAUUCAUUUGUAAAGCACUUUGGCUCAACCUCUGUUGUUUUUAAAUGUGCUAUAUAAAUAAAGGUUGACUUGACUUGACAUGACGUUUACAUUAGGCAUUAAGCAGAUGCUUUCAUAGAGAUUUAAAAAGUGAGGAAGGAAAGCGUGAAGAUUUGUCAUUACAUGCAUCUUCUUUAUAUGUGUAGAAAAAAUAAUUAGGCUAUAAUAAUGUAUAAUAUAAUGUAUAAAAUAAUAAUAUAGAUGUAUAAUAAUAUAUAAUAAAGAAAAUAUUAUAAUAUAAAAUAUAAUCAUGUAAAUUUGAUAUAUCAACAUUAUUUUACAUAUUAUUAUAUUUAUAGCCUAGUAUUUGAUUAUAGCGUACGUGAUUAUUGCGUACGAGUGGCUUUAGGUUUUCUUGAAUUUUUGCGUACAUUUAAAAGAAAUUUUGAUACAAAAGUUUUUGUUGAAUCACGAUUUGUUAGUGAAAACAUCCGUAUGCACAUCUCACGGACAAAUUUGUACGUACGCACGUUUAGUGAAUGAGACUCCAAAAAAAUCUUAGCUGGGAUUUGUGUUCCACAAGUAUAGAGGUAUUGAAUGACAUAAAAAUAAAUGUUGACAGAUUUUUGUUUUUGGGUAAGCUAUUCCUUUAUGACUUAAAUGUAAUUGCCAUUUUCUGUGUGAAAUGAGAAGUAGUUGUGUUAAUUAAUUCACUUGUUAACCAAGUUAAAAAAAACUGAUCUUUGUCAUUCAAGUAUUUAUUCAAGACAUGCUUUUCCACAGACUGUAAAGUAAACAAACAAAUCUACAUGAUCUAGCAUUACAGCACACAGUUUAUUUAACCAUUAUCUCUCUGAUCAUAACUAAAAGGACUUAAAACGUCAUUUAAAGAUUUAAGAAGUGAAGUGCACCCUCUGUCCAUCCAUUUCCCUCACUUCACCUAAAGAAAUAGUACUGCAAACCGCUCCGGAUGAAGAUGAACAACCACGUUCAAUCACGCGAGCCUCUUUAGCGGCUUUUCAGCUCCGCAUCAUUAUAUCAAUAAGCGAGCAAUCUCUCUCCAUGCAAUCUCGCUCUCCCCCAUCUUUCAUGUGUACCCGUCUAUCCAUUAGUCACCUAAUUAAAAUGGAAUAAGAUGGCUAUUAAGUUUUAGCGUAGUCUUUGUUCUCAGUGGCUGGUUAAUGUUAGGAGAGGCUCUCUUUAUGUAACUGCCGCUCACUGUUUUGUACUCGUCGCACAAGGCCACUUCAUACAAGACAUUAGCAGCGCUCCGAGACUGAAACCAGGGAGAGAAAGCCGGCAAGACUGUCUUAUCUCUACCCCUUAUCACUCUCUUUCACAUGCUCGCUCUCCAGUUUAAUGUAACAUCACAGCGAUUGCAAAAAAACCCGACAUCUGUUGAAUCAACAAUGAGGCUGAGGAAGAAAAAAACAGGAUUGAUGGAGAAAGAUAAAAGAGUAACUGUUCACGUUCAAGCGGGCAUCAAGUAAAGUUGCCUCGUUUGACGGUAAACGGCAAGCAGGCGAGAAAUCUUUGAUGCCAGUGAGACUAUGAUUUAAAUUGAAUAUGAUUUAAGAUUAAAUGCUAAUAAUUGAUAGAGGCUGUGCGUGUUGAAAGCUUCAUAAAUAACAAACAACCAAGUCUCUCUCUUUUCCUUUUACUUCAAGCACCUCAAGCAUAUACCAAAAAGCAAAAGGAAGUACUUGGGUGAUAAAUAACUUGUAGUUUAGGGAAUUAUUUUUUUGAAGGUCAGGUAAAUUCUU